rnacentral:lncRNA from 1 species
UAGAGCUUUGGAAGGGUCCAGCAGCCACUCUGGGCCAUGGGACAAGCACAAAAUUCUGAACCAUUCCAUAAUCUCUAUAACUGAUUGGACCAUGGGAGAGAUGUCUAGAUUUGGAAAUGUUUCAGGCCAGAUGCACAUAUCUCAUGAGAAAAAAUGUGGAUUAUAGCCAGCAUGUAAUAACUAUUCUAGUGCUGUUUCAUAGGAAUAAAAAGCAUUUUAAGACAGAGAUCUGCCUUCCCUCUCAGCUGCUGGAAGUGUGCCCUGCUCUGGGAGUCAGCGUGAGCAGCGGGAGCUCAAAGGCACAUUUGACAUUUUAUUUGAAUUUUGUGCAGUUAUCGGAUGCUUUUUCUUUGUUUUGGGCUUGUUUGGGCUUUUCUCAAGCUUUAGCCUUUCUGGGCACAGGCUUCUUCCUAUUGAUUUGCUUUUGCAGGCAGAAACAGAUGUGGAUGACUUUGAAAACUGGCAAAGGGACAGUGAAUUGGACUCUGCAACAGGAAUGGGAUGCAGAACAGUGCAACAGAGUGUCCUGCAGCAAAACGAGACGGACCUUCAUGCAGUGUCAGCUCCAGCACUGGUGAGCUGGUGGGGAACCAAACAGCAUAGCAAAUCUGCAUGCAUGCAUGUAACACAAUGGAAGUUUAAGCCAACAAUAUCAUAUGAAAGAAGGACUUCAUUAUCAAUAUACUACUAAAGGGUUGAGAUAUUUAGAAAACAAAGAAUAAAAGCAACUGUUGUGUUGAGAAUGUUGUCCAGCUGCCUUGCAUGUCCCCUUCAUGUUCAGCCCAGGAAGCCACAUGCCUGCCUCGGUGAGGACUGUUUGCAUUCAGAGAAGCAAUAUUCAACAUUUGUUGUUUCAAUACCUGAAGUUGUGACCACUGAAAACUUGGAGGAGCUGCUUCAUUGAGCACGGAGCUCGUGACGAGAGGCCUGAAAGCAGGAAUUCAGAGCUCCUACUAACAAAUGGAAAAGAAACUUUGGAGUGUGGACCUAAGUAAUAGAAUCAUCAAAUCAUUUAGUUUGGAAAAGACCACUGAGAUCAUCUAGUCCAACCAUCAACCCAUCCCCACCAUGGCCACUAACCAUGUCCCUCAGUGCUACAUCUACACAUUCCUUGAACACCUCCAGGAAGUGACUUCACCACCUCCCUGGGCAGCCUGUGCCAAUGCAUCACCACUCCUGAGAAGAAAAUUUUCAUAAUAUCCAACCUGAACCUCCCCUGGCACAAUGUAAGGCCAUUCUGUCUUGACUUAUUGCUGUAACCUGGGAGAAGAGGCUGACCCUCACCCCAUCACAACCUCCCUUCAGGAAGUUGUAGAGAGUAAUAAUGUCUCUCCUGAGACUCUAGUCAUGGGUAGGACAACCCAACCUACAAAGAUAAAAGUGAACAUCACAAUUAUUUACAAUAUUUACAAUGACUUUAGACAGAAAUCUGAGUCAAAUCAACCCAUGGAAUUGCUUUGCUUCUAAAACUUAAUAUACAUUACAGUUAAACCACAAUAGUAAAAUCCCCACUAAACAUGAGGAAAGGGAAAUGGCAAGCUGACUGCAGUAAGAUGUAAAAGCUUGUCUGAACUCAGAUGUGCCCUAUGUGGUUCCUGGACACAGGGCAGUUUCCAUGAAAUGCCCCACAUCUGACCCUUGGACAAAAUGUCACCUCAUCUAAUCUGUCUGGUGGGACCAAGCCCAGACUGUGCUAACCCCCUAGAUGUGCCUAAAGAUGGGUUGAGAGAAGAACUCUGAGUGCCUGUAUCUAGGAACACUCCUUCAAAGUGUUUAAUUUCCUAGAAUUGUAAAGUCAUUUGAGCUGGAAGGGACCCUUAAAGACCAUCUAGUCCAAGUCCCCUGCAAUGAACAGGGACACUUACAGCUAGAUCAGGUGCUCAGAGCCCCAUCCAGCCUGACCUUGAAUGUCUCCAGAGACAGAGCAUCCAUCACCUCUCCAGGCAACUUUUGCCACUGCCUCGCCACUCUUGUUAUAAGAAAACUUUUUCCUUAUAUCCAAUCGAAACCUCCCCUCUUCUAGUUUGAAACCAUUUCCCUUUGUUCUGUCACAGCAGACCCUGCUAAAGAGUCUGUCCCCUUCUUUCUUACAGAUCCCCUUUAGAUAUUGAAAGGCCACUCUCAAAUAUCCACAAAGAGAGGGGAAACUUUCUCCUCUCCAGGCUGAACAGCCCCAGCUCUCUCGGUCUGUCCUCAUAGGAGAGGUGUUCCAUCUCCAGGAUCACUGUUGUGGCCAUCCUCUGGAUGUGCUCCAACAGGUCUGUGUCUCUCUUGUACUGUGG